UACGUAGGGGGCGAGCGUUGUCCGGAUUUAUUGGGCGUAAAGAGCUCGUAGGCGGCUUGGCAAGUCGAGUGUGAAACCUCCAGGCUCAACCUGGAGACGCCACUCGAUACUGCUAUGGCUAGAGUCCGGUAGGGGACCACGGAAUUCCUGGUGUAGCGGUGAAAUGCGCAGAUAUCAGGAGGAACACCGGUGGCGAAGGCGGUGGUCUGGGCCGGCACUGACGCUGAGGAGCGAAAGCGUGGGUAGCAAACAGG
rnacentral:rRNA from 1 species